AUUGAACGCUGGCGGCAGGCCUAACACAUGCAAGUCGAGCGGAUGAGGGUAGCUUGCUACCUGAUUCAGCGGCGGACGGGUGAGUAAUGCCUAGGAAUCUGCCCGAUAGUGGGGGACAACGUUUCGAAAGGAACGCUAAUACCGCAUACGUCCUACGGGAGAAAGUGGGGGAUCUUCGGACCUCACGCUAUCGGAUGAGCCUAGGUCGGAUUAGCUAGUUGGUGAGGUAAUGGCUCACCAAGGCUACGAUCCGUAACUGGUCUGAGAGGAUGAUCAGUCACACUGGAACUGAGACACGGUCCAGACUCCUACGGGAGGCAGCAGUGGGGAAUAUUGGACAAUGGGCGAAAGCCUGAUCCAGCCAUGCCGCGUGUGUGAAGAAGGUCUUCGGAUUGUAAAGCACUUUAAGUUGGGAGGAAGGGCUGUAGGCUAAUAUCCUGCAGUUUUGACGUUACCAACAGAAUAAGCACCGGCUAACUUCGUGCCAGCCGCCGCCGUAACAC
rnacentral:rRNA from 1 species